CAGAUAACUCUGAAAUAUCAGCUGGUGGCA
rnacentral:piRNA from 2 species